GCCAUGUUAGGUAGCCAGUCAAUUCGAAUCCCGGUUCAUUUCCAUAUUGGCACAAUAGCGUCUAGAUGUGUACUAAUUCCCCACAAAUAUUUUAGCUAAAUUGUUUAAAUAAUAUACCACCCCAGUCCUAUUAAAUGAUAAUUAUUCAAAAAGCUAAACUCACGGCAGUGCGGCUUUCAUUAGUCAUGAGCGGCCGCGCCGGCCGAUCUCCAUCUAAUGGGCUUAUGUAGCAUUUUCGUUCAUCUAGAGCUUAUUUUACCUAAUUACAAAAACUGGUACAAAAUUGUUUUAAUUUCUAUUAAUUAUUCGUGUUGAUAAUAAAUGAAGAGCGAAUACAUAACUUACAACCGAUUUUAUGAAUAGAUACCAAUAGCAAGAGUUCGAAUUGACCGGCUACCUAAGAUGGCUACGUCAACAAACGAAAUCAUUUGAAGCUGCGAGUUUUCGGGUGGAGUGUGGCUUUAAUGAAUAUUUGAAGAGAGCUAUAUCACUGUCAUGAUCGUGUGCAGGAUUGGACAAAACAAGAUGGCAGACGGCAUUUCCAAACAAAGGUAUCAAGCCCUAGAACUUCUUUCCAUGAGAUGGGUACACUUCGAAUGUGCAAAUUUGUGGUGAGGAAUUCAAGACCAAUUCUGAAUUGCGUAGGCAUGUAUAAAGGAAACAUCAGUCAGAAAAAUUGUCUUCGUUUGUGACCAGUGCAACACACGCUUUUGCCCAUUAUAAAAGAAACUCGAAGUAAAAAAUACAUUGUUUUCUGAAUACACGAGGUGCAUACAUACAUGUAUACCAUGGCAGCCGUUUUAUAUAUUCGUGUAUGUACAUUGUGAAACGAUUAUUUUUACGGUAUUAUGCUUUGUUUUACAGAGAUACUACUAAUCUUUUACAUUGCAUUUUACACAUGUUGAUUUGUCAUUUCAUUGAACCUAAGUUUUACGUGUUAUUAAAUAUAUUUCAAUGUUA